AUUGAACGCUGGCGGCAGGCCUAACACAUGCAAGUCGAACGAGUGGCGGACGGGUGAGUAAUGUCUGGGAAACUGCCCGAUGGAGGGGGAUAACUACUGGAAACGGUAGCUAAUACCGCAUACCAUCGGAUGUUCACAGAUGGGAUUAGGUAGUAGGUGGGGUAACGUCUCACCUAGGCGACGAUCCCUAGCUGGUCGGAGAGGAUGACCAGCCACACUGGAACUGUGACACGGUCCAGACUCCUACGGGAGGCAGCAGUGGGGAAUAUUGCACAAUGGGCGCAAGCCUGAUGCAGCAAUGCCGCGUGUAUGAAGAAGGCCUUCGGGUUGUAAAGUACUUUCAGCGAGGAGGCGUUACUCGCAGAAGAAGCACCGGCUAACUACGUGCCAGCAGCCGCGGUAAUUC
rnacentral:rRNA from 1 species